GUGGGGAAUAUUGCACAAUGGGCGAAAGCCUGAUGCAGCAACGCCGCGUGAGCGAUGAAGGCCUUCGGGUCGUAAAGCUCUGUCCUCAAGGAAGAUAAUGACGGUACUUGAGGAGGAAGCCCCGGCUAACUACGUGCCAGCAGCCGCGGUAAUACGUAGGGGGCUAGCGUUAUCCGGAUUUACUGGGCGUAAAGGGUGCGUAGGCGGUCUUUUAAGUCAGGAGUGAAAGGCUACGGCUCAACCGUAGUAAGCUCUUGAAACUGGAGGACUUGAGUGCAGGAGAGGAGAGUGGAAUUCCUAGUGUAGCGGUGAAAUGCGUAGAUAUUAGGAGGAACACCAGUAGCGAAGGCGGCUCUCUGGACUGUAACUGACGCUGAGGCACGAAAGCGUGGGGAGCAAACAGGA
rnacentral:rRNA from 1 species